CACGUAGGGUGCGAGCGUUGUCCGGAAUUAUUGGGCGUAAAGAGCUCGUAGGCGGUCUGUCGCGUCGGAUGUGAAAAUCCAGGGCUCAACCCUGGACCUGCAUUCGAUACGGGCAGACUAGAGUUCGGUAGGGGAGACUGGAAUUCCUGGUGUAGCGGUGAAAUGCGUAGAUAUCGGGAGGAACACCGGCGGCGAAGGCAGGUUGCUGGGCUGACACUGACGCUGAGGCGCGAAAGCUAGGGGAGCAAACGGG
rnacentral:rRNA from 1 species